ACUCCUACGGGAGGCAGCAGUGGGGAAUAUUGGACAAUGGGGGGAACCCUGAUCCAGCCAUGCCGCGUGUGUGAAGAAGGCCUUUUGGUUGUAAAGCACUUUAAGUGGGGAGGAGGCUUACCUGGUUAAUACCUAGGAUAAGUGGACGUUACCCACAGAAUAAGCACCGGCUAACUCUGUGCCAGCAGCCGCGGUAAUACAGAGGGUGCGAGCGUUAAUCGGAUUUACUGGGCGUAAAGCGCGCGUAGGUGGUUAAUUAAGUCAAAUGUGAAAUCCCCGAGCUUAACUUGGGAAUUGCAUUCGAUACUGGUUAGCUAGAGUAUGGGAGAGGAUGGUAGAAUUCCAGGUGUAGCGGUGAAAUGCGUAGAGAUCUGGAGGAAUACCGAUGGCGAAGGCAGCCAUCUGGCCUAAUACUGACACUGAGGUGCGAAAGCAUGGGGAGCAAACAGGAUUAGAUACCCUGGUAGU
rnacentral:rRNA from 1 species